UACGUAGGUGGCAAGCGUUGUCCGGAAUGACUGGGCGUAAAGGGAGCGUAGGCGGCGCAGUAAGUUAGGAGUGAAAUCCCGGGGCUCAACCCCGGCCCGCCGUUGAAACUGGCUGGCUUGAGUUGGGGAAAGGCAGGCGGAAUGCGCGGUGUAGCGGUGAAAUGCAUAGAUAUCGCGCAGAACCCCGAUUGCGAAGGCAGCCUGCCGGCCCCACACUGACGCUGAGGCACGAAAGCGUGGGUAGCAAACAGG
rnacentral:rRNA from 1 species